GUUAAACUUGUCUCAACAGAUUAUACUGAAGUAGAUAGCAAAAUGAAUGUAACAACAUUGCCAAUUUUAUUGCAGAUAAUGCUACAAGAAACCAGAGACACCACUCCUAUGUUUCUCGUCACGGUCCUCCUUAGCUGGCAUCUCAGAUUUUUUUUUUUUUGAAUAAAUGCUAAAUUUAUUCAUCAAAAAAGCCUAUAUACAACAGGUGCAUACUGUUUACUUUAUAAAAGCUUAGAAACAAAGCAAAAUCAACUACUACACCACUAGAGAAGCCUAAUUACAUUCUAGAACAGAAUCAAAAUUGUAAAAUCUCCUCCAUCCCCUUGGUCUUCCUCAAUAAGUAAAAUCUAUUCCUCAUCCCUUUCUCAAUCACUUUUUUUAGGACAGGAAGAGGUAGCAUCUUAUCACCAUGUCUAACCUUAUUCCUUUCCUGCCACACUGCAUAGAUCACAGCUUGGAAAGCAUAACGAAUGCAAUACAAACUCUUCUUUUCCCUCGCUGCAACAGCAUGAAACACACUGCAUAGAUCACUGCAUAGAUCACAGCUUGGCAUCUCAGAUUUACAAGGAAGCAACAGCAUGACAAGCUGCUACGCAGUGCGAGGAAGAUCCUGGAGACCAAACAGAAGCCAUGUUAAAUCCGUUGUGGCCGAGGCUCGAACUCGUGAUUGCGGGCACUUCAGCCGAGGUUCCUUUACCACCAGAUCACAAAGCCCGGUUUAAAAACACUUUGCAUAACAGCGUCUCCAACUAAUGCCAUUUUUCACUUGAAAUCUCGUUAACUAACGAGAAAAUUUAUCACUAUAUUUUUUUUUGACAAUGUGCUUUUUUUAUGACUAAUAUUGGGUGGAUACUUUAAAGGGAAAAUUUGGAAAAUACAUUAAUAUGAGAUUUUAAUUUUAAAACU